UCACUUGCCUCAUUAUAACUCAAUCAGUUACAACUUUUUCAAUUAACAGCACAUCGCAGCCGAUGCCAAACACUUUCACCUUUAAGAACCGCAAUUUUCCAUUGCCUCUUGGCUCACUCUUCCCCUACCAACCGAAGAACAUGCCCCACGAUAAUUGAAUUAUGAAACAUCAUUUCGCUGUCUGCGUUAACCAUAAACGCAUUAAGUUCGCGUUAAUGAAGAAUUAUGCAGAUGAUGUCCAGGUCCUGACCUCAGACUAGACUUCAAUAUGAAGGCGCGGCGUGAAGAGAAGAAAUAUAAACGAACCUAUAAAAGCCUUGGCCAUUAGCAAGUCUGGUCCAUUAAAACUGCACACACAGAGAUUAAAAGGAGCUGGGAAAAACUUCUGCAGUGAAUUUGCUGAAUUAUUAAUUAACCUCAAACAAUUAAAAGUGAAAUAUUUAAAAAAUGUUCGUAUAAUUAAGCGAUGCGCUGAAAAGGACGGGUUUUACAAAUCCUUUUUAAGCGGCCAAGGAAUUCGCUGAAGGAAAUGGUUCGAGGUUUCAAGACCGAUAAACAAUGUAGAUUGUAAUUAACUUGACCGGCCCUACCUGCCCUUCCAUUUUCCACCCAUUUUCCUCCCAUUUCCCGUCUGCAUGUAAAUGUGGGUGGGUGGCAGCGACUUAAUUGCAUGCACGAAAUGCAGAGCUCGAAUGAAUGACAUUCAUUUUCGAUUCGCUUCCACUGUCUUUGCUGCACUUCCGUUUGCCACACACACAGGAAGGCAGCCAAAGGAUUCAGCAAGGAUAAAACUUGGACUCGGUGGAAAAUGGCAGCUGACCGACCCGGGAAUAAAUAAAGCAAAUAUGGAAGUUGAGUGCGAUAAAUGCAAUUGAUCAAGGCAAGAAAAACAAGGCCGGAAAUUUCCAAAGAAACGGCGGACACAUGCUACUUUUCCCAUGGUCAAAGGAAAAUGCGGACAGAGCCCAAGGCCACUCGAGUACAGUGAACACUGAGUGGGUGAGAGAGGUGAUGGCGCAGGCAUAAAAAAACCCGCAGCUGUCAUUGGCAAUAAAAAUAAUAACACCCAUCGAGUGCUCGAAAAGUAACAAAAGCAACAGCAGUCAAACCAUUUCAAUGGCUCGAUGUUUUUUAUCAAUCACAAAAUAAACACUCAACAAUGGAAGGGAGCGAAUAUAUGUUUAUGCAUUUCCUUUUCAAUACAAUACAUUUUUUGUAUGUAUUAUCAUAUUUAUUUAUAGGUACUACGUGUGCCCCACAGGAAGCUGUAAGCGUCAUACUCGUUUCACUUUGAUAUUGUUCAAAAGCGAAAAUACAUAAAAACAAGCAUUUUUAAUUUUCACAGGAGCAUACAUAUUUCUACGCCAACCUGUCUGCCAUAAUUGAAGUACAAGCCAACGCCAUUUGAUUAUUUGUAUACUAAUAAAAAGCAUUGCGAAUUUUUUUACGAUUUGUUUGUCAUGGAAUCAAGAAACACAAGAAACAAGAUAUAAGUAGAAGGAAAUGCUCCCUCCCCAUAAAACAACAAUUUUUCAUUUUCACCAAGGAAAAAAAAAUGAAAAGUCCACAAAUAUAUGGCCGUCUCAUAAAUAGGAGACCAGAAAUCAAUUGACAAUUUAUUGUUUGAAAUAUAAAAAAUGAGCGAGUGUAAGUUCGGUUUGAAAGAGAUGUCGUUUUUGUGCAGGGCAAAAAUCUAUAUUAAAUUACGAGCCAGCUAACAAAAUGUCAAAAUAAUAAUAAUAAAAAGACGAAAUGACAA